rnacentral:rRNA from 1 species
CCAAUAGCGUAUAUUAAGGUUGUUGCAGUUAAAAAGCUCGUAGUUGAACUUCGGGAUUUGCCCAUUGGUCAGGCUUAACUGUCUGCACUGGUGUGACGAGUUCCUACCUUCUGAGGAAUCUCCAUGUCAUUCAGUUGGUGUGGGGGGAAAUCAGGACUGUUACUUUGAAAAAAUUAGAGUGUUUAAAGCAGGCGUCCGUCUGAAUACAUUAGCAUGGAAUAAUAAAAUAGGACGGUUUGGUUCUAUUUUGUUGGUUUCUAGGAUCACCGUAAUGAUUAAUAGGGAUAGUUGGGGGCAUUAGUAUUCAAUUGUCAGAGGUGAAAUUCUUGGAUUUAUUGAAGACUAACUACUGCGAAAGCAUUUGCCAAGGAUGUUUUCAUUAAUCAAGAACGAAAGUUAGGGGAUCGAAGACGAUCAGAUACCGUCGUAGUCUUAACCAUAAACUAUGCCGACUAGGGAUCGGACGAAGUUAAUUUUUUAAUGACUCGUUCGGCACCUUACG